UUUAGCUCACCUGACCUGAAAGGUCAAGUGAGCUUUUCUCAUCACUUUGCGUCAGUCGUCCGUCGUCCUGCGUCCGUCAUCCGUCGUCCGUCGUCCGUAAACUUUUACAAAAAUCUUCUCCUCUGAAACUACUGGGCCAAAUUUAACCAAACUUGGCCACAAUCAUCAUUGGGGUAUCUAGUUUUAAAAAUGUGUGGCGUGACCCUGUCAACCAACCAAGAUGGCCGCCACGGCUAAAAAUAGAACAUAGGGGUAAAAUGCAGUUUUUAGCUUAUAACUCAAAAUCCAAAGCAUUAAGAGCAAAUCUGACGGGGUAAAAUUGUUCAUCAGGUCAAGAUCUAUCUGCCCUGAAAUUUUCAGAUGAAUCGGACAACCCGUUAUUGGGUUGCUGCCCCUGAAUUGGUAAUUUUAAGGAAAUUUUGCUGUUUUUGGUUAUUAUCUUGAAUAUUAUUAUAGAUAGAGAUAAACUGUAAACAGCAAUAAUGUUCAGCAAAGUAAGAUUUACAAAUAAGUCAAUAUAACCGAAAUGGUCAGUUGACCCCUUUAGGAGAAAUUGCCCUUUAUAGUCAAUUUUUAACCAUUUUUCGUAAAUCUUAGUAAUCUUUUACAAAAAUCUUCUCCUCUGAAACAACUGGGCCAAAUUAAACCAAACUUGGCCACAAUCAUCAUUUGGUUAUUUAGUUUAAAAAAUGUGUGGCGUGACCCGGCCAACCAACCAAGAUGGCCGCCACAGCUAAAAAUAAAACAUAGGGGUAAAAUGCAGUUUUUGGCUUAUAACUCAAAAACCAAAGCAUUUAGAGCAAAUCUGACAUGAAGUAAAAUUGUUUAUCAGGUCAAGAUCUAUCUGCCCUGAAAUUUUCAGAUAAAUCGGACAACCCGUUAUUGGGUUGCUAGCCCUGAAUUGGUAAUUUUAAGGAAAUUUUGCUGUUUUUGGUUAUUAUCUUGAAUAUUAUUAUAGAUCGAGAUAAACUGUAAACAGCAAUAAUGUUCAGCAAAGUAAGAUUUACAAAUAAGUCAAUAUAACCGAAAUGGUCAGUUGACCCCUUUAGGAGUAAUUGCCCUUUAUAGUCAAUUUUUAACCAUUUUUCGUAAAUCUUAGUAAUCUUUUACAAAAAUCUUCUCCUCUGAAACAACUGGGCCAAAUUAAACCAAACUUGGCCACAAUCAUCAUUUGGUUAUUUAGUUUAAAAAAUGUGUGGCGUGACCCGGCCAACCAACCAAGAUGGCCGCCACAGCUAAAAAUAAAACAUAGGGGUAAAAUGCAGUUUUUGGCUUAUAACUCAAAAACCAAAGCAUUUAGAGCAAAUCUGACAUGAAGUAAAAUUGUUUAUCAGGUCAAGAUCUAUCUGCCCUGAAAUUUUCAGAUAAAUCGGACAACCCGUUAUUGGGUUGCUAGCCCUGAAUUGGUAAUUUUAAGGAAAUUUUGCUGUUUUUGGUUAUUAUCUUGAAUAUUAUUAUAGAUCGAGAUAAACUGUAAACAGCAAUAAUGUUCAGCAAAGUAAGAUUUACAAAUAAGUCAAUAUAACCGAAAUGGUCAGUUGACCCCUUUAGGAGUAAUUGCCCUUUAUAGUCAAUUUUUAACCAUUUUUCGUAAAUCUUAGUAAUCUUUUACAAAAAUCUUCUCCUCUGAAACAACUGGGCCAAAUUAAACCAAACUUGGCCACAAUCAUCAUUUGGUUAUUUAGUUUUAAAAAUGUGUGGCGUGACCUGGUCAACCAACCAAGAUGGCCGCCAUGGCUAAAAAUAGAACAUAGGGGUAAAAUUCAGUUUUUGGCUUUUAACUCAAAAACCAAAGCAUUUAAAGCAAAUCUGACAUGAAGUAAAAUUGUUUAUCAGGUCAAGAUCUAUCUGCCCUGAAAUUUUCAGAUGAAUCGGACAACCCGUUGUUGGGUUGCUGCUCCUGAAUUGGUAAUUUUAAGGUAAUUUUGCUGUUUUUGGUUAUUAUCUUGAAUAUUAUUAUAGAUAGAGAUAAACUGUAAAAAACGAUAAAUGUCGGCAAAGUAAGAUCUACAAAUAAGUCAACAUGACCGAAAUUGUCAGUUGACCCCUUUAGGAGUUAUUGCCCUUUAUAGUCAAUUUUAACCAUUUUUUCGUAAAUCUUAGUAAUCUUUUACAAAAAUCUUCUCCUCUGAAACUACUGGGCCAAGUUAAUUAUAGAUAGAGAUAAUUGUAAGCAGGAAGAAUGUUCAGUAAAUUAAGAUGUACAAACACAUCACCAUCACCAAAACACAAUUUUGUCAUGAAUCCAUCUGCGUCCUUUGUUUAAUAUUCACAUAGACCAAGGUGAGCGACACAGGCUCUUUAGAGCCUCUAGUUUUAUUUGGUGUUUCUAUAGAAUAUUUUGGAAACUUGAGGUUACAUGGUUACUGAAGCUUGUACACAGGAAAAAAAGAGGUGAAAAUUUGAUUGGUUAACUUCCAGUGAUGGUUAUUUUCUUAUAUGCAGUGAAAUGUUAUGUGAAAUUUUGUCUAUAGUACUGGACAGGAUAAAACUUUACUCAUGCCAAGUAUUACUUUAUUUGAAACAAAGAUAAAUUCUGCACAAUUUUUUGAAAAGUGCAAAUUUAACAAAGACUAAUAGGGGAAAAUCAAUGGUGGUAUUACACCUG